CCAACUUCCUUGAAUCUCCUUCUAGAAUACACUUUAAGCUUCCCAGGACCAUUAGUUCCUACACUCUCCUACUGCCCGGUUGAAGAGGAAUGGCAUGGUCUGUUGGUCGUCGAGGUGGCAAAGUAGUCGGUUCUGCGAAUACAGACUCAUGUUCUUGUAAUAGAGUUUGCAAUUGGUCAUUUUGACUAGGCAAUAAUUCGGAUGCUCGUAAUUUGAUAACAAAACAAGAAGAUAUUUCCCAAACUAAUGCACAGUACUCCACUUCUUUUAGUCGACAUAGAGAAGAUAGGGAAAAAACAGCCUUAGUAACGGAAGGGUUACCUCACAAGGUUACAGGUGCCCCAGCAUGUUGGAAUGAUAUUGUCAUCUGAGUCAGAAUUAACCUUAACAUCGCCCAAUUUUACUAGCCAAGCCACAGCCAGAAUUAUGUCCAUGCCACCUAAGGGAGAGACGUAACAGUCCGCCCUGAUGGAGAAUUCUUCCAACUGCAAGAGAAGAUUAGAACACAGCCCUGAAGAUUCUUUCCUGUCAUAGUUGUUAAAGGCUCAAGGCACAUCGAGGCGCCAAGGGUCUUGGAGCCUAGGCACGAGGCGCAAAAUGAGUGCCUGAGGUGAGGCACAAAAAUUAAAAAA
rnacentral:misc_RNA from 1 species